GACGAACGCUGGCGGCGUGCUUAACACAUGCAAGUCGAACGAUGAAGCCGGAGCUUGCUCCGGUGGAUUAGUGGCGAACGGGUGAGUAACACGUGAGCAAUCUGCCCUUGACUCUGGGAUAACUGCGGGAAACUGUAGCUAAUACCGGAUACGACACCUUGGGGCAUCCCAGGGUGUGGAAAGAAUUUCGGUCAAGGAUGGGCUCGCGGCCUAUCAGCUAGUUGGUGAGGUAAUGGCUCACCAAGGCGACGACGGGUAGCCGGCCUGAGAGGGUGACCGGCCACACUGGAACUGAGACACGGUCCAGACUCCUACGGGAGGCAGCAGUGGGGAAUAUUGCACAAUGGGCGAAAGCCUGAUGCAGCAACGCCGCGUGAGGGAUGAAGGCCUUCGGGUUGUAAACCUCUUUUAGCAGGGAAGAGGCGAAAGUGACGGUACCUGCAGAAAAAGCACCGGCUAACUACGUGCCAGCCGCCGCGGUAA
rnacentral:rRNA from 1 species